rnacentral:Y_RNA from 1 species
GGCUGGCCCGAUGACGGUGGGUGAUCUGAAAUUAUUAACAUUAGUGUCACUAAAGUUGGUAUACAACCCCCACUGCUAAAUUUGGCUAAAAA